AUGUGCCUUGCAGAAAUCUGUGCUUCCUUGUGCACUCUUGCCACAGCCUUCAAACUUGCAUCUCUUUCCUCCACCAUGACGCACGCAAUAGUCGGUCCUUCCCCUAGCGCUUUUUGUGCACUCCGGAACAGCACAUCUCUUGCCCCCACCAUGUGCGACACAGAAGUUGGUACCCCCAUGGACACUCUUCGUACAAAUGCCGCCUCCUUGGAAUCCGCAUCUUUUCCCACCGCCAUGGCCCUUGCAAAAUGGGGUGCUCCCUUCAGCACCUUUGGUACAACCAGGAGCCGUACAUCUUUUUCCCCCACCAUGAGCCUUGCAGUACAUGGUGCUCCCUUGUGCCCCUUUAGUGCACCCAGGUGUUUGGCAUCGCCUACCACCACCAUGAGAGAUGCAAAGACCAGAGAGGCCUUCUGCACUCUUGGUGCAGUUCUCCUUUUGACAUCUCUUGCCACCACCAUGACGAAUGCAUAAUCCUGAUUUUCCUCUUGCUGCUCGAGUGCAUCCUUCACGGUUGCACCUUCGACCUCCACCAUGGGCAAUACAAUAAUCUGUGCGUCCUUCUGCACUCUUGGUACAACCCAAGUGUUGACAUCGUCGUCCACCUCCAUGGGCCUUGCAGUAUACAGUGCGACCCUCAGCUCCUUUGUGGCAUCCAGGUUUCUGACACCUCCGACCACCACCAUGUGAUAUGCAACGGCCAGAAGCACCUCUG
rnacentral:misc_RNA from 1 species